ensembl:lncRNA
GAGAGAUGGAAGGGGAGAGAUGGAAGGGAGACAGGGGAGAUAUGGAAGGGAGACAGGGAAGAGAUGGUAGGGAGACAGGGUAGAGAUGGAAGGGAGACAGGGGAGAGAUGACAGGGUAGAGAUGGAAGGGAGACAGGGGAGAGAUGGAAGGGAGACAGGGUAGAGAUGGAAGGGAGACAGGGGAGAGAUGGUAAUGAGACAGGGGAGAGAUGGAAGGGAGACAGGGGAGAGAUGGUAAUGAGACAGGGGAGAGAUGGAAGGGGAGAGAUGGUAGGGAGACAGGGGAGAUAUGGAAGGGAGACAGGGGAGAGAUGGAAGGGAGACAGGGGAGAGAUGGUAAUGAGACAGGGGAGAGAUGGUAAUGAGACAGGGGAGAGAUGGAAGGGAGACAGGGGAGAGAUGGUAAUGAGACAGGGGAGAGAUGGAAGGGAGACAGGGGAGAUAUGGAAGGGAGACAGGGAGAGAUGGAAGGGGAGAGAUGGAAGGGGAGAGAUGGUAGGGAUACAGGGGAGAGAUGGUAGGGAUACAGGGAGAGAUGGAAGGGGAGAGACGGAAGGGGAGAGAUGGUAGGGAUACAGGGGAGAGAUGGAAGGGUAGAGAUGGAAGGGGAGAGAUGGUAGGGAGACAGGGGAGAGAUGGAAGUGGAGAGAUGGUAGGGAGACAGGGGAGAUAUGGAAGGGAGACAGGGGAGAGAUGGAAGG